UCCCCGAUAGCUCAGUCGGUAGAGCAACGGACUGUUAAUCCGUGGGUCGUUGGUUCGAGCCCAACUCGGGGAGCCA
rnacentral:tRNA from 12 species